AAUUUUCCUUCUAGGAAGUUCAAUUUUUUAUUCUGCAGGAAAAAAAAAAGGGAACUGAUCGGGCAUAGAAAUUGUUCAGUAAAUUUUCCUUCAAGAAGAGAGUACGAUUUUUUAUUCUGUAGAAAAAAAAAAAGGAACUGAUCAAAUUUUUCGGAACCCGUCAAAUUUUCCAAAAUAUCAUCAAGCAUUCCAAGUUACCCUUUUACCACAUACAGACGGGAAAAAGGCAUCCCUUGUUCAUUUCUUCAAUCUGGUUGUUCCCUCCACAUUCAAAUCCUGAAGGUUCAACAGCAGCUCAUCAGAAUUCAAGAA
rnacentral:lncRNA from 1 species